ACGGGUGAGUAACACGUGGUCAACCUUCCCUAGAGUGGGGGAUAACUAGCCGAAAGGUUAGCUAAUACCGCAUACGAUCUUCGAGGGGCAUCCCUUGAAGAUGAAAGGAGCAAUUCGCUCUAGGACGGGACCGCGUCCCAUUAGCUAGUUGGUGGGGUAAUGGCCUACCAAGGCUCCGAUGGGUAGCUGGUUUGAGAGAAUGACCAGCCACACUGGGACUGAGAAACGGCCCAG
rnacentral:rRNA from 1 species